rnacentral:rRNA from 1 species
UGGGGAAUCUUGCACAAUGGGCGAAAGCCUGAUGCAGCAACGCCGCGUGCGGGAUGAAGGCCCUAGGGUUGUAAACCGCUUUCAGUAGGGAAGAAAAUGACGGUACCUACAGAAGAAGGUGCGGCCAACUACGUGCCAGCAGCCGCGGUGACACGUAGGCACCAAGCGUUAUCCGGAUUUAUUGGGCGUAAAGAGCUCGUAGGCGGUUCGGUAAGUCGGGUGUGAAAACUCUGGGCUCAACCCAGAGACGCCACCCGAUACUGCUGUGACUAGAGUGCGGUAGGGGAGCGGGGAAUUCAUGGUGUAGCGGUGAAAUGCGCAGAUAUCAUGAGGAACACCAGCGGCGAAGGCGCCGCUCUGGGCCGUAACUGACGCUGAGGAGCGAAAGCAUGGGUAGCAA